UACGUAGGGGGCAAGCGUUGUCCGGAAUUAUUGGGCGUAAAGAGCUUGUAGGCGGUUUGUCGCGUCUGCUGUGAAAUUUCGGGGCUCAACCCCGAACUUGCAGUGGGUACGGGCAGACUAAAGUGUGGUAGGGGAGGCUGGAAUUCCUGGUGUAGCGGUGAAAUGCGCAGAUAUCAGGAGGAACACCGAUGGCGAAGGCAGGUCUCUGGGCCAUAACUGACGCUGAGAAGCGAAAGCAUGGGGAGCGAACAGG
rnacentral:rRNA from 1 species